UACGUAGGGGGCUAGCGUUGUCCGGAAUCAUUGGGCGUAAAGCGCGCGUAGGCGGCCCGGUAAGUCCGCUGUGAAAGUCCAGGGCUCAACCCUGGAACGCCGGUGGAUACUGUCGGGCUAGAGUCCGGAAGAGGCGAGUGGAAUUCCUGGUGUAGCGGUGGAAUGCGCAGAUAUCAGGAGGAACACCAGUGGCGAAGGCGGCUCACUGGACCGGAACUGACGCUGAGGCGCGAAAGCGUGGGGAGCGAACAGG
rnacentral:rRNA from 1 species